rnacentral:rRNA from 1 species
GAUGAACGCUGGCUACAGGCUUAACACAUGCCAGUCGAGGGGAAACGACGGGGAAGCUUGCUUCCCCGGGCGUCGACCGGCGCACGGGUGAGUAACGCGUAUCCAACCUGCCUCUGACUGAGGGAUAACCCGUCGAAAGUCGGCCUAAUACCUCAUGGCAUCGUCUGCGGGCAUCCAACGACGAUUAAAGAUUUCAUCGGUCAGGGAUGGGGAUGCGUCUGAUUAGCUUGUUGGCGGGGUAACGGCCCACCAAGGCUACGAUCAGUAGGGGUUCUGAGAGGAAGGUCCCCCACAUUGGAACUGAGACACGGUCCAAACUCCUACGGGAGGCAGCAGUGAGGAAGAUUGGUCAAUGGGCGGGAGCCUGAACCAGCCAAGUAGCGUGCAGGAUGACGGCCCUAUGGGUUGUAAACUGCUUUUAGGCGGGGAUAAAGUGAGGGACGUGUCCUUCAUUGCAGGUACCGCAUGAAUAAGGACCGGCUAAUUCCGUG